rnacentral:rRNA from 1 species
AACAUUGAAACAUCGGUUCACGCACGAUCACAGAAGUUAAGCAAUAUCAAGCCUGGUCAGUACCUAGAUGGGUGACCGCUUGGGAAUACCAGGUGCU